rnacentral:rRNA from 1 species
UACAUAGGUGGCGAGCGUUAUCCGGAAUUAUUGGGCGUAAAGAGCGCGCAGGUGGUUGAUUAAGUCUGAUGUGAAAGCCCACGGCUUAACCGUGGAGGGUCAUUGGAAACUGGUCGACUUGAGUGCAGAAGAGGGAAGUGGAAUUCCAUGUGUAGCGGUGAAAUGCGUAGAGAUAUGGAGGAACACCAGUGGCGAAGGCGGCUUCCUGGUCUGUAACUGACACUGAGGCGCGAAAGCGUGGGGAGCAAACAGGAUUAGAUA